rnacentral:rRNA from 1 species
UACGGGGGGGGCAAGCGUUGUUCGGAAUUACUGGGCGUAAAGGGCUCGUAGGCGGCCAACUAAGUCAGACGUGAAAUCCCCAGGCUCAACCUGGGAACUGCGUCUGAUACUGGAUGGCUUGAAUCCGGGAGAGGGAUGCAGAAUUCCAGGUGUAGCGGUGAAAUGCGUAGAUAUCUGGAGGAACACCGGUGGCGAAGGCGGCAUCCUGGACCGAUAUUGACGCUGAUGCGCGAAAGCCAGGGGAGCAAACGGGG